rnacentral:rRNA from 1 species
AUUGACGGCCAUACGGGCGUGGCCCCACCCGGACUCAUCUCGAACCCGGAAGUGAAACGCGUACCGGUGGUUAAUGGCACUGGGAUUUCUCCUGGAGCCGUGCCAACGCUGUCAAUC